rnacentral:rRNA from 1 species
UACGUGGGGGGCAAGCGUUGUCCGGAAUCAUUGGGCGUAAAGCGCGCGUAGGCGGCCCUGUAAGUCCGUUGUGAAAGUCGAAGGCUCAACCUUCGAAAGCCGAUGGAUACUGCAGGGCUAGAGUCCGGAAGAGGCGAGUGGAAUUCCUGGUGUAGCGGUGGAAUGCGCAGAUAUCAGGAGGAACACCAAUAGCGAAGGCAGCUCGCUGGGACGGUACUGACGCUAAGGCGCGAAAGCGUGGGUAGCAAACAGG